rnacentral:rRNA from 1 species
AUGGAGAAAGACGCGGUGCUGGUGUGCACGGUGCUGGGCUUCCUCGGCUCGGUCGCGGUCACCCUCGGCUUCGUCGCCAACAACUACAGCUCCAAGGCAUGGAUCCAAGAUCGAACACAAUUCUCAUUUCAACAUUUCGAUCCAUCUGUGCUAACUGAGAUGUAUGUGCAGUCCGUGGAGUACGACGGGACGAACUGCGUGUAUCGGAGCCCGCCGGCGAUGGGGCUCGGCAUCCUGGGGGUGUUCCUGGUGUUCAUCAACCAGGUCAUCGUCGCCGCCUACGCCAGCGGCUGGUGCCUCUGCCUCUGCUGCUGCUGCCCCUGCUGGACCAAGCGCCGCCGGCUGGCGCCAACGCCGUCCAAGCGGCACAGGCUCGGCAUCAUCCUCUCCAUCUUCUCCUGGGUCCUGACGAUCGUGGCGAUGGCGAUGUUCAUCGUCGGCGUGACGGAGAGCUCGCGGGAGGAGGCGCCCAUCUCUAAAACCCCGACCUCGUACGCGUGCAGGGAGCCGGGGACGAUCGGGAGCUUCCCGACGGCGUCCCUGUCCUCCCUCAUCGCCGUCGUGCUCGGGAUCGCGUCCUACGUGCUGCUCGAGACGGCCGCGCCGUCGCACACGCCGCCCGACGGGCUGUUCCGCAUGGAGGUCGCCGGCGGUGCGAGUAGUACUAGUACGGGGCAGCAGCAGAGUCAGGUUCAGACUAAUGGACAGAUGGCCGGUGCGGAUCAGGAAGCGGAGCAUAUAUCGCUGGCCACCGCGGUUUGA